GUCUUCGCGCUAUCGAUCACGGGUAUGGUCGA
rnacentral:scRNA from 1 species